ACGAGCAAGACAUACAAGACUCUGAAGCACCCACAUGCUGCUUUUGAUAAGAAAUAGACUUGUAAAACCAUGCAAUCAAACUCCAGUGCCCAUUCUCACUGAUUCCGCUCAAAUUCUCGUUUCAAAACCCGGGCAAUCAACCUCCAUUUUCAUGCAUGCACAGAGAGGAAAAGUGAAAUAAAGGAAGCAUGAUGGAGACGUCAUGGAAUGGAGGCCUACCGGAAGAGGUCAAAGGAUCGAGCCUGGGAAUUGUCGAAGGUGGCAGGAGUGAUGGGUUGUGAGAACUCGUCGAAGCUGAUACCCCGACGAGCUCCUUUGCGGUGAGGGUGUGGCCAAGCUUGCGCCUUGGUUUGGCCGAGCUCGGCGGUGGUGAACUGGUGAUGAAACCGUCGUCGUCCCAGUCAAGUUGCCUUCACGCCUUCCUCCUCCUCUCCGGCCUCCCCCAGCCGGACCUCGUCCUCUGCACCGUUCUUGCCUCCGCCUUCGCCCGCUGCGGGCUCCUCGAU
rnacentral:lncRNA from 1 species